CGAGUCGGAGUUGUAGUCGGGGGCCGAGUCGCAGCCGCUCAACUACUAAAGUUGGACGCCGCAUUUGCCAAUUGAAACAUUCAAAUACAAACAAAACCUUAGUGAGACAUAUAAAAGUAUAAAAAAAAAAAAA